rnacentral:rRNA from 1 species
AUGCUUGUCUCAAAGAUUAAGCCAUGCAUGUCUAAGUACAUACUUUUGCACGGUGAAACCGCGAAUGGCUCAUUAAAUCAGUUAUGGUUCCUUAGAUCGUUUUUACUACAUGGAUAACUGUGGUAAUUCUAGAGCUAAUACAUGCAAAAAGCUCCGACCGUAUGGGAAGAGCGCUUUUAUUAGACCAAAACCAAUGGGGUCGCAAGACUCCUUUGACUGGUGACUCUGGAUAACUUUCUGCUGAUCGCAUGGCCUAGAGCCGGCGACGUAUCUUUCAAAUGUCUGACCUAUCAACUUUCGAUGGUAAGCGAUUUGCCUACCAUGGUUGCAACGGGUAACGGGGAAUA